rnacentral:rRNA from 1 species
GACGAACGCUGGCGGCGUGCUUAACACAUGCAAGUCGAGCGGUAAGGCCCUUCGGGUACGACGAGCGGCGAACGGGUGAGUAACACGUGGGUGACCUGCCUUUAGCUCUGGGAUAAGCCUGGGAAACUGGGUCUAAUACCGGAUAUGACCUCAUGACGCAUGUUGUGGGGUGGAAAGCCUUGUGCGGCUAGAGAUGGGCCCGCGGCCUAUCAGCUUGUUGGUGGGGUGAUGGCCACCAAGGCGACGACGGGUAGCCGGCCUGAGAGGGCGACCGGCCGACACUGGGACUGAGACACGGCCCAGACUCCUACGGGAGGCAGCAGUGGGGAAUCUUGCGCAAUGGGCGAAAGCCUGACGCAGCGACGCCGCGUGAGGGAUGACGGCCUGG